CUCACGUGGUAAAAUCACAUAAUAUCUUUUUUUCUUUCAUUCAUUAUGCCAGGCACUUUUGACCAUUUACAGUUUGGAAAUUCUUGUCCUUCUGAUAAAAUUUCUUUGCGUAUUUUCUUAAAAUUUGAGAGGAAGUCUUUUGCUUUCCAUUUUAUGUUUUGUUCUUGUAAUUUUGCUGCCUUCAUGUAUUACUUAUCUAAUUGAGGUAUGAAUGUAGAAAUCUACAUUCAUGUGGCCAUGUGCCUGAUGGUAUAAAACAAACUAAUAUGUAUAGGAGAGCAUAAAGCUCGUGUGCAGGAAGAAGAGAACAGAGAUGAGCAGUGAGUCUUAUGUGUGACUCCUGGGUUCCAGUGAUCCCUUUGAUUCCUGAAGCUGUUUUUCUUUUGAUUUUGUGGAGACUCCACAUUCUGAUUGAGCUAGUUUGACUCUUGUUUCUGUCAUUACUCUAAAUUAAGCCCUUAAUGUUAGUGUGCUUUACUGAAAUGUGGAGAGGUAGUUACUGAUUUUGGCUGUUGUUUUACACUGAUAUGAGAUUUGAUUAAAAUUCCCUUGAUCCUUCCAUUUCUAGCUGUGAUAGUUAAUUUUAUGUGUCAAUUUAGACCAGAGUAUUCCCAGAUAUCUGGUUAAGCAUUAUUUCUGGAUGUUCCCAGAUGGCUGAAUCUGUGGACUCAGUAAGUAAAUUGCUCUCUCCAGUGUGGGUUGGCAUCAUUCAAUCCUUUGAGGGCCUGAAUAACACAGAAGGAAGAAAGAGAAAUUUAUUCUUUUUUUUCUUCUUCCUGCCUGCCUGCUUGAGCUGAGCUACAUUUUUCUUCCCCUUCCCUUUGACUUGGAUUUACCCAAUUAGCUCCCGUGGUUCUCAGCCCUUUGGACUCGAACUAGAAUGACACUACCAGCUUUGGUGAGUCUCCAGCCUGCAGAUAGCAGAUCAUGGGACCUCUCAACCUCCUAAUCAUGUAGGCCAAUUUUCAUAAUAAAUCUAUAUAUAUAUACACAUAUAUACAUAUAUAUGUGUGUGUAUACACAUAUAUAUGUGUGUGUGUGUGUGUAUAUAUAUAUAGGAGAGACUGGAUUAGAUGUUUUGUUGAUCUGUGCUUUCCUUUUUUUUUUCCUUAUAUGUAUAUAUGCUGCUUUUUUUUUCCAUAUGUAUAUAUGCUGCUCCACAGGCUGCUAUUGCCAGUGUUGAAUAUGAAUAUUAUAUUGGCUGUCUUUCUCUGGAGAACCCUAAUGCUUGAGCCAUGCCAUAUCAAUGACUUGUAAGCUCUUCCUCACCCAAUGAGUGAGCAACAUCUCUGAGAAGAGAAUUGAUGAUUGUUUCAAAGAUUCUUGCUUGGUAUUUAUUUCAUGACUGAGGAUUUUGGAUCUUAAAAAAGUGUAUCGAGGAAAUUAAAA
rnacentral:lncRNA from 10 species